AUCGAAAGGAAAGGGAAGACAUGGAAAUGGAACAACUGAAGCAACAAAUUCUCACUGUUCCCCCAAUUCCUCUCACUUCGCCUCUUCAACCGCCGCAGCUCCAACACCGUUCUGCUCACUAGCCUCACCUUCUCUUCUACCAACUUAGGGAUGGCUCUUCUCACGAGGCUACCAUUACGUCCAUGGAACCCAACCAUGACACCUUCCUUCUCCAUUCCGAGUAAACUCAGGUUCCGUUGCUUAUUCUCUGCAACAAAACGGACAAAGUCAUUGCUCAUUCCAAGGAGUUCAUUUCUAGACAGAUGGCGAAGGAAAUGUAUUGCCUCAUAAUUAUCUCUGCUUCUUUCAUUGUUCGUUGGUUACUUUGUUAUUGCAUAUUAUUGUUGGCAAUUGAUGGAUUAUCUGGGGGUGAGCCUAGGUGUUAUGGUGAGGUUGUUUGCAU